CAGCCGCCGCGGUAAUACGUAGGGCGCAAGCGUUGUCCGGAAUUAUUGGGCGUAAAGAGCUCGUAGGCGGUUUGUCGCGUCUGCUGUGAAAACUCGAGGCUCAACCUCGGGCCUGCAGUGGGUACGGGCAGACUAGAGUGCGAUAGGGAAGACUGGAAUUCCUGGUGUAGCGGUGGAAUGCGCAGAUAUCAGGAGGAACACCGAUGGCGAAGGCAGGUCUCUGGGCCGCAACUGACGCUGAGGAGCGAAAGCAUGGGGAGCGAACAGGAUUAGAUACCCCUGUAGUCCCUGUCUCUUAUAA
rnacentral:rRNA from 1 species